rnacentral:snRNA from 1 species
AUACUUAACCUGGCAGGGGAGAUAUGAAGAUCAUGAAGGUGGUUUUCCCAGAGCAAGGCUUAUCCAUUGCAUUCCGGAUGUGCUGACCCCUGUGAUUUCCCCAAAUGUGAGAAAGUCAUCUUAUUCC